AAAAAGGCAAACCGUGGAUUCCCGUGCCAACGUUUGACUGUUCGUCUUAUAUGAAAUUUUUUUAUAAUUAGUAUUUUCAUUGUUGUUAGAUGAUAAAACAUGAUUAAUACUUUAUACGUGACUUAUUUUUUUAAUUUUUUUUAAAUAAAACGAAUAGUCAAACGUUGAACAUGGAAACCAGGGUUUGUCUUUUU
rnacentral:pre_miRNA from 1 species